UAGUACUCCUAGGAGUACAUACUCCCAUCCCACGUGUCACUCCUUUGGUUGAGCGCCGUCCAUUUGUUGGUACUCAUCCGUUCAAUAUUGGUCGUAUGGAAAUUAGUUGCCCGAUCCAUGUUUAUAGGGAUUCUUGCUGACAUUUUUCACGGGAAUACAGGUCAGGCUAGUAGAUAGAAGAAUAUAAAUAUGGAUGGCCGUGGCGUUAUCUCCUGAUCACCCGGAUUAUUCUGCCGGCGACAGCCAAAACAACGAAUUCAAGAUACACAACUAAUCUGACGUUGGCAGAGAUGAUGAUGGCAACAUCAUCGUCCAGCUUCUACAUCUCAUCAUCGAGACCAGUAUAAACUAGGCGUUCAAGAGCACGUGGCCAGAAAUGGCUCAAGUCGCUCGAUGAGGACGAGAAGAUUUGGUGGCCGGCGACUCGACGACGCCAUGCUACUCGUGGCCGGCGGCCGGCUGCUCAACAACAUCACACAAGACUUGACCGGCGGCAGACCGACGACAUCCUCACGCAACGCACUAUGUGUCUCCUAAUGAUCACCGUGCAUGGAUUAGUAGAUCGGCUACUCCAAUCACAAGUGCACACACCUCGUGCUUGGUGAUUCAAUGGAUAUACAUAGUAGAUAUAUUUAUUUUCGUGAUGUCUAGUGUACAAAUCUAUAUGGAACGUACAUUACAUGAAGAUGUAGAAACAAAGGGCACAUGCACUCUCGGCUAAUUUUCUUACUAGGUGUACUUAUUUUUGCUAAGAUGAAACUUUGGUCUAUUACUUCUGUAAUAUAAUUAAGAAGUAUGUAUACCUUUUACCA